GGCCGGGAAAGGAGAUCCUCCACCCAGGGACCACCGACCACCCACUGGGAGGUAAGCCGGCCGGCGUCUGUCUGUCUGUCUGUCUGAUUUUGUCUCGUUCUGCCUUAUUCUGUCUGUUCUGUGAGCGCUCAGCCAGGUUGUUUGGAAUUUGGGCGGGACGAAGAAGGAGCUGACGAGCUCGGACUUCUCGCCCCGCAGCCCUGGAAGACGUUCCAAGGGUGUUGGGGCCCGACUUUUCGGGGCCCAAUCUGGGAGAGGAGAAAGAUCCGGACUAACGGCACUCUGUCUGUAUUUUUGGCUUUCAGAGGGCCCCGGACCUUUGCCACCUCCAUCUGACUUUUUGCUUUCAGUUUGGU
ensembl:lncRNA